UGAGCAAUCUGCCCUUCUCAUCGGAAUAAGCGUUGGAAACGACGUCUAAUGCCGAAUACGACCUCCUUUCGCAUGAUCGGAGGUGGAAAGCUCCGGCGGAGAAGGAUGAGCUCGCGGCCUAUCAGCUAGUUGGUGUGGGUAAUGGCCCACCAAGGCGACGACGGGUAGCCGGCCUGAGGAGGGUCGACCGGCCACACGUGGGACUGAGACACCGGCCCAGACCUCCGUACGGGAGCA
rnacentral:rRNA from 1 species